GUACACUCCUGCGGGAGGCAGCAGUGGGGAAUUUUGGACAAUGGGCGAAAGCCUGAUCCAGCAAUGCCGCGUGAGUGAAGAAGGCCUUCGGGUUGUAAAGCUCUUUUGUCAGGGAAGAAACGGUGAAAGCUAAUAUCUUUUGAUAAUGACGGUAACUGAAGAAUAAGCACCGGCUAACUACGUGCCAGCAGCCGCGGUAAUACGUAGGGUGCAAGCGUUAAUCGGAAUUACUGGGCGUAAAGCGUGCGCAGGCGGUUUUGUAAGUCUGAUGUGAAAUCCCCGGGCUCAACCUGGGAAUUGCAUUGGAGACUGCAAGGCUAGAAUCUGGCAGAGGGGGGUAGAAUUCCACGUGUAGCAGUGAAAUGCGUAGAUAUGUGGAGGAACACCGAUGGCGAAGGCAGCCCCCUGGGUCAAGAUUGACGCUCAUGCACGAAAGCGUGGGGAGCAAACAGGAUUAGAAACCCGGGUAGUCCCAUGA
rnacentral:rRNA from 1 species